AUGCUAUUGACAUGAUAGCAAAGUCCCAAACAGAAGUGGGGCAUCUGGCAGACCGGGGCAAGUCGUUUGACCGGUUGAGACAAUUCAGACUGAGGUUGAAUUCAAGUAAGGGCACUAUCAGAGUGCGGUCCGGUAAGCUGUCGGGGGUUCAUUGUCAGAGAGGAAUCGAGGUUGCUCCUGCUUAAAAAAAAAAAAAAAAAAAAAAAAAAAAAAAAANNN
rnacentral:lncRNA from 1 species